rnacentral:rRNA from 1 species
UACAGAGGUCCCAAGCGUUGUUCGGAUUCACUGGGCGUAAAGGGUGCGUAGGUGGCCAGGUAAGUUCGGUGUGAAAGCUCGGAGCUCAACUCCGAAAAAGGCAUUGAAUACUAUCCGGCUAGAGGGUUGGAGGGGAGACUGGAAUUCUCGGUGUAGCAGUGAAAUGCGUAGAUCUCGAGAGGAACACCAGUGGCGAAGGCGGGUCUCUGGACAACACCUGACGCUGAGGCACGAAAGCCAGGGGAGCAAACGGG